rfam:Rhodococcus pyridinivorans SB3094, complete genome.
AGUGCGACGGGAUCGACACCGCGCGUGACGACCAGGUAGUCGCGCAUGACGAUGCCGUGGCGGUUCUC